UCAACCUUUCACAAACAUUCCGGCAGCUAAUUAAGGAGUAGAGUCUGAAAAUCUAUGGGAAGAGACAUUAGCUCCUGUCUUCAAAAAAAUGGCUUUUGGUAAAGCGGAGAAAAGAGGAAAAUUAAAAACAGAUGUCUACGUAAAACUUACACCAAAGAAGCAGCCAUUUCAAUGGUUCAAUACUUUAAUUGACCCACCGUGUGGAUACUUGUGUAGUUUGGAAUCUGAGUGCAGUUCUGAUAUUUAAUGAAGCCUUGCUGCUUCAUAAGCCUGACAGCAGCUCCACUGAUCUACCAACAGGAACAACUGAUCUUCAUUGGGUAGUUGUCAAGUUAUCAAUGUUACUGAAAUAACUCCACAGAGACUGAUAUCCUGUCACCAAGUCACCCUUUGUUUACACGUGCACAGCACUUGGACUCUGACCAUCUAGCUGAGGGCCAGUCCCUAGGGUAAGGAGAAUCCAUGACACUCCUGUUUACAUCUGUCAGCCAUGACUCCCUGAUUGGCCCAGGUUACCAACACCAAUCAGGGAACUCAUACUCAAUGAGAUUCAAUUGGCAUA